GCUAGUUGGCGGGGUAAAGGCCCACCAAGGCGAAGACGGGUAGCAGGUGUGAGAGCACGACCUGCGACAUCGGGACUGAGACACUGCCCGGACUUCUACGGAAGGCUGCAGUAACGAAUCUUCCGCAAUGGGCGAAAGCCUGACGGAGCAAUGCCGCGUGUGGGAUGAAGCGGCUCUGCCGUGUAAACCACUGUCAGGGGAUGGAACCAAUGAUUGUCCCCAAAGGAAGUGGCGACUAACUCUGUGCCAGCAGUCGCGGUAAUACAGAGGCCACAAGCGUUAUUCGGAAUCACUGGGCUUAAAGGGUGCGUAGGCGGCUCAUCAAGUGCUUUGUGAAAUCCCGCGGCUCAACCGCGGAACAGCAGGGCAAACUGACGAGCUUGAGGCAGGUAGGGGCCGACAGAACAGUAGGUGGACCGGUGAAAUGGGUAGAUAUCUACUGGAAUGCCGAUGGGGAAGCCGGUCGGCUGGGCCUGUCCUGACGCUGAGGCACGAAAGCGUGGGGAGCAAACAGAAUUAGAUACCCUGGUAGUCCACGCCGUAAACGAUGUGCACUAGACUGGUGCGGUUUUGACGCUGUAUCAGUCGUAGUAAAAACGAUAAGUGCACCGCCUGGGGAGUACGGUCGCAAGGCUAAAACUCAAAUGAAUUGACGG
rnacentral:rRNA from 1 species